rnacentral:misc_RNA from 1 species
UUUCCGUAGGUGAACCUGCGGAAGGAUCAUUAAUGUGUUUGGGCCUCACGGCUCUUCAUUCCGACGCUGUGCGCCUUCGGGCUGCACGCUGAGGGAGCAUAUAUCCUCCCCUGUGCACACACACGGUGGCGAGCUGGGUAACGGCUCGCCGCUGAUCUUUACACACGUCUAAAAGUCAUUGUAUGUUUAUUUGAGAUAAAAACACAACUUUCAGCAACGGAUCUCUUGGCUCUC